UACGGAGGGUGCAAGCGUUAUCCGGAUUCACUGGGUUUAAAGGGUGCGUAGGUGGGUCUGUAAGUCAGUGGUGAAAUCUCCGAGCUUAACUUGGAAACUGCCAUUGAUACUAUAGAUCUUGAAUAUUGUGGAGGUCAGCGGAAUAUGUCAUGUAGCGGUGAAAUGCUUAGAGAUGACAUAGAACACCAAUUGCGAAGGCAGCUGGCUACACAUAUAUUGACACUGAGGCACGAAAGCGUGGGGAUCGAAACAGGAUUAG
rnacentral:rRNA from 1 species